UACGUAGGGUGCGAGCGUUGUCCGGAAUUAUUGGGCGUAAAGGGCUCGUAGGCGGUUUGUCGCGUCGGGAGUGAAAACACUGGGCUUAACCGAGUGCUUGCUUUCGAUACGGGCAGACUCGAGGCAUUCAGGGGAGAACGGAAUUCCUGGUGUAGCGGUGAAAUGCGCAGAUAUCAGGAGGAACACCGGUGGCGAAGGCGGUUCUCUGGGAAUGUUCUGACGCUGAGGAGCGAAAGUGUGGGGAGCGAACAGG
rnacentral:rRNA from 1 species